UGGCCGUGGGCAAGGACAAGUGCGGGGAGCAGCGGCUCGUGUCGCUGCCCCUGUCCCGCAUCCGGGUCAUCAUGAAGAGCUCCCCCGAGGUGUCCAGCAUCAACCAGGAAGCACUGGUGCUCACGGCCAAAGCCACGGUGAGGCGGAGUGAGGGGCGGGCGCCCUUAACCGUCCGCCCCGCUGGGCCCCACGGCACUUCCGGGUCUCCUGCGGCCUCGGUCUCUCGCACCCCGCUUCCUGCCCUCGCCAGCGCGCGCUCCAGCGCCCGAGCUGUCCCGCCAUCCCCUGCGUGCCCUCACCACGCCCCCGGCCCUCCUGCUCGCCGCACCCCCUUCCGCUCCCAUCGUGCCCUGCGCUCCUGCCGUCCCUCCCCCGCCGCGCCCUGCGUUCCCGCGCCCUCCACCGUUCCCCGGUCCCUGCGUGCCUAGAGUUGAACGUGCGGACCGUCACGGGUGUCCACCACCCCUUGUCCCGGCUGCAAAGACUUGGGUCAGAGGCAGCCCCCAAGGCUCUCCUUGUCCACGCCUAGGCGAGAGGGUCGGAUCGGCGACGUGUGCGGACCCCCGCCCCUCCUGGGCCCUGAGCGACUCGUGUCGACGAGCGCGGACCACAGCCUUCCCGUUCCCAGGCUGGGUCGCGUUUAAGUCACACGGCUAAUUGCUUCAACUUUCUUAGGCGGCUUCCAGCCCCACUAACUCAGUGCGUGGUGUUUGGCGGUGAAGGUGGGCUGGGGGCGAGGAAGCGGAGGUCGGGGUUUUCCCCGUCGUGCCAGAGCUGUGCGUUUUUAGAGCCCAGCAAAAUAGACAUCCCUGGGUGUUCUUGUGAGGUGGCUCUCAAGAUCUCCAGACACCAGAGGCCUGGGUGCUCGGCCCCUGGUAGGAAACUGUGUGGUACUCACAAAAAAACAAUCACCUCCUUCUGUAUACUUUGAAACCUGUAAACCACAGGGCAACUGCGAUUGCAUGUUCCCGUGAGAUCUUGGGACUUUCAUGUCUUCCUGUUCAGUUUCAUGGAGCUCUUUGUUCAGUACCUAGCCACCUAUUCCUACAGACAUGGCAGUGGAAAAGAAAAGAAAGCACUGACUUACAAUGACUUAGCGAAUACUGCAGAGGAAUCGGACACUUUUCAGUUUCUUGCAGCUUUAUGUUUUUAAGAUAUAUUACCAAAGAAGAUUUUAGCUAGUAAGUACCUGAAAAUGCUUAAAGAGAAGAAGGAGGAGGAUGAGGACGAUGAAGGAAGUGACGAUGAUGAAGCGGAGUCCUAGACCAAGGAAGAAGGCUUCUAGAAAUCACCUGGCCAGGACCCUCCUUGGUGACCCUCUUGCUCUGAAGCAAUCAAAUCACCAUGUGGCUUUGGUUUCCCUUUCCAGAAAUUUCCAGUACAGCAUAUUCCUUCAUGACUAAAACUGAUCAUCUCCUGCAUCUACACCAUGAAGAGCUGAAGGGAAAAUAGUGCAACUGUGGUCUGACAGGCCACCCUGCAGCUGAAACCACUGUCCUUUCCUUUGAACUUGCAGACAGAUUCUGACAAGCUUCUGGAUUAGCUGUGGAUUUAUGAUUUAUAUUCUGAAAUUCUUAUAAGAACUGGAUUUAGUUUCAGCUAAAUAUGUAGUUUAUAGUCAUAUGCUUCCUUUCAGUUAUGUAUUUUUAUAAAAUUUGACUAUGUGUUCAAAUUUUAUUUUUUUAUUGUAAAGAAAUAUACUUUUUCUUUUCUAUUAAGGUCUGUACAUAUUUUUACAGUAAUGUGCUUUGUGGAACUAGUUUUAGGACUCAUUUGUUCUAAUCCUUUGCUUACUACCUGAAAGUUUUGUAAAAUUUAAAAGCAAGCAUUUCUUUGUGGGGCUGUGGCUCAGCAGUGGGAUUGAUUCCCAGAACCAAAAAACAAAAACCCACUUUUAUUCCCAAAGGUAAACUCCCAGAUUAUCAAAUGAAAUGCAGAAAUACUGCCUCUGCCUUGGUAUACUGUCCUUAUAACCUACAUCCAGUAAAAUCGCCCUUUUUGGUUUCAAGUGUA